CGGGGGGGCUGGAGUCAGCUAAAGCCAAAGUUGCAGUUCAAGUGCAGUCAGUCGAAGAAUCACAAAACAUGUCUGCGACCAAUUCAAAAGACUCUGACCCUUGCUGACAAUUUCCAUGCUUCGGAGAAGGGAAAUGGUGAUCUUUGUGAAUGAGAGUACUGCACAGUUCCUGCCCUGUGACUUUCUGCCAGUGUAAGAGGUAAAACAAGAUAAGAUGGAAAGGAGGAAGUGGAAAACAGCUACAAACAAGAAAAAGAAGCAAAAACAGAAGAAGGUCUUGACCGUAGUUAAGAGGACGAAAGUAACUGGAGAAUCAUCAGACAACCAGCAGAACUACUGAAACAUGUUGGGAGCCAGAUCAGAAGCGAGGCAGAGGAUUUCCAGCUACAAGCGACGAACAAAGAACAGGAGCAAAGUGGUAAGGAAGACGAUGGCGUCCAGAGGAGGUUGAGGAUGCAGAAGUGGAGCAUGGAGGGGCAGAAGGAGCUGAUCAAGAGGAGUCAGGAGUCAGGGUUCAUCAUUUGAUGGAGCAGAUGAGAGGGAUCUUGAGUUGCCUUCAGUUUCCACCAGAAUGUAUCCUUUUCGACAAAGAAAUCCACCCAAAACACAAUACAAUAGAUUAGGUCAAUUGUCAUUUAAGAUAAAAAGGGCCAUGUUUUGGGAGGGAGACACAUGUUCAUAAUUACUUAAAGGUCUUACUGUUACGGUAAGUUAGAUGGGCGUGGGCCCAAGCGCAGCACACAGGAGUCACAGGGAGGUUCUUCCGACUUGAAAAAUAAGAUAUUUAUUUAAACAUAUAAAAAGGGCGCACGAGGACAGGUUGACUCCGCAGGGAAGAAUGGCCUCGGAGGACCCGCUAGCCGGCAGGUAGGAAUCCUCGAGCACACUCUGACGGCAGAACUAUCUGGCGCUGAAUGGCAGGAAGACCCGGGUUCAUAUGGGAGUCCCUUGAUGGCUGAUUGUCGUCAGCUGUUGCAGGCCACACCCUUCGGGGAUGCCCAGGCGGAGACCACACCUCCUUUCAGACACGGGAAAACACAGGCAAAGGAAACAGAGGGAGCUGCUGGGCUGACAGCAUGACACUUACUGAGACAUAUGUUACGGAUAUAUAUAUAUAUAUAUAUAUAUAUAUAUAUAUACACAAAUACAAUAUAUGUGUGUGUGUAAUCGGCUAUCUUUUUGCCUUCUUGGUUUCUGUGUUAACAUCUAGCUUUGAUCAAUGGGUCCUGAAAUGCGCCGAAUGUGUUAGAUUUAGCAAAAUUUGGUUAUGACAUUUUGGUAACUCUUUUAAUCUUUGUUUGAGUUGUGUCUGGAGCAAGUUCAAACAGCUUAGUAUGCAUUCUAGGCAAGGCUCUAAUGUUUCUCCUGGUGUACCAUUAUAUUAGUUUUUUUGCGGAAUGCCUUUUUUUCGACAGUAUGGGGGACGCUCGGGUACAAAAGACAGUUGAUUGAAUAAAAAAUCUUUUAAUCUAAAGAAUCACUUCACACAACGCACCCCUGCCACCAUGGGUCUGCGAUAUCAGCGACUAUCGCACUACCACCAAUGAAACAUCCAGCACACGUUUAAACAUGAACAUAUAGAAAAAAGAAGUGAAAAAACUAGUUAAAUUGAGUAAACCUGCAGCCUUGAUACCUCAAUGUAAGAUCCUUUAAAAUGUUUUUUUCUCUCAAAAAAAUAAAUGAUUCCCUUUUAGAUUUAACGGAGUGUUUAAUAACCUCCUGACCAAUGCUGAAUGCAGUCCCAAUCACUUUGUCAAGAUUUGGCACUUACUAGAUCAACCCCACGUCAAGAAAUAAGUCUCCGUAGAUUGUGGUUCCUUCUGGACCCUGGUCCUGACACCUGCCGUGGCCAUGCUGACGCCUGCUGCUGCCAUCAUCAUUAUUUUAGAUAUUAAUCAUAUUACUGUACUCAUAAACCGACAUUACCCUCUCCUAAAAUCUCUGUGCUCUCCCUCCCCACAGGCUUCUGUGGAUGGUGGUUCUAUCUGAUGGUGGUUGCCCCUGCAGUGGUCCUGCUGUGCGCCUGGCUUACUACUCACAAUUACUUGAAUCAUUUCUGUCAUAGGAAUUGCAUGUAUUAUACAUUGUUCAUUCUGUACACAUGGCAUCCAUUGUAGUCUGUCCAUCCCGGGAGUGGGAUCCCUCCUCUGACGUUCUCCCUAAGGUUUCUUCCCUUUUUUCCCUCUUGUAAGGGUUUUUUCAUUUUUUGGGGAGUUUUUCCUGUGCCGAUGGAGGGUUUCGGGGCAGAGGAUGUUGUAUGUGUACAGACUGUAAAGCCCUCUGAGGCAAAUUUGUAAUUUGCGAUUAUGGGCUAUACAAAAUAAAAUGACUUGACUUGA
ensembl:lncRNA